rnacentral:lncRNA from 1 species
CCCUAGGGGACGGCCUCUGUCCAGCAUGCCUUAAGUCCCAGGAAGGGCAGUUUCUGACUCACCCAAGGGUCUGGUCUACUUGGAUUUGUCCUGGAUGCUAUCGCCACGGACAGGGGACCCUGGACCAGAGCUUAAAAGCCCCAGAGAGCCUAGGAAGUCACAGACCCUACCUGUAAGCACCUGGAAGUCCAACAGUAUGAAGGAGCAAAGCACGCAUCCCGGGGACGGCAUGAAACCCAGCCUGGGCUCACUGAAGAGGACCCUUUUCCGGACCAGCCUGCGAGCUUCAACACACAAGCCCAAGGAGGACGAGGGCCUGCUCAGGCGGAGCUCCCGUUUUCUGUUCAGGUCCUUGAGACGGGCCCUAGAUGAAGGCCUAACUGCUGGGCAUCCCCAAGGCACUGCUGUACCAGAGAAGCCCUCCAGGGUCACAGAUGGUGUCAGCCAGCAGGCAGCCACU